UACGUAGGGUGCAAGCGUUACUCGGAAUUACUGGGCGUAAAGCGUGCGCAGGCGGUUAUGUAAGACAGAUGUGAAAUGCCCGGGCUCAACCUGGGAACUGCAUUUGUGACUGCAUGGCUAGAGUUUGGCAGAGGGGGGUAGAAUUCCACGUGUAGCAGUGAAAUGCGUAGAGAUGUGGAGGAAUACCGAUGGCGAAGGCAGCCCCCUGGGCCAAUACUGACGCUCAUGCACGAAAGCGUGGGGAGCAAACAGG
rnacentral:rRNA from 1 species